UCGAGAAUCUUCCGCAAUGGGCGAAAGCCUGACGGAGCGACGCCGCGUGGUGGAUGAAGUCCCUCGGGACGUAAACACCUUUUAUGAGGGAGGAAAUUUUGACGUUACCUCAUGAAUAAGGGGCUCCUAACUCUGUGCCAGCAGGAGCGGUAAUACAGAGGCCCCAAGCAUUAUCCGGAUUUACUGGGCGUAAAGGGUGCGUAGGCGGUUAUAUUAGUCAGGUGUUAAAUCUUUGGGCUCAACCCAAAAAUCGCAUUUGAAACGGUAUAACUAGAAUAAGUCAGAGGCAAGCAGAACUCACGGUGUAGGGGUGAAAUCCGUUGAUAUCGUGGGGAAUACCAAAUGCGAAGGCAGCUUGCUGGGACUUUAUUGACGCUAAGGCACGAAAGCGUGGGUAGCGAACG
rnacentral:rRNA from 1 species